rnacentral:rRNA from 1 species
CGAAAGCCUGACGGAGCAACGCCGCGUGAGGGAUGAAGGCCUCUGGGCUGUAAACCUCUUUUCUCAAGGAAGAAGACCUGACGGUACUUGAGGAAUAAGCCACGGCUAAUUCCGUGCCAGCAGCCGCGGUAAUACGGGAGUGGCAAGCGUUAUCCGGAAUCAUUGGGCGUAAAGCGUCCGCAGGCGGCCUUGAAAGUCUGUCGUUAAAGCGUGGAGCUUAACUCCAUUUCAGCGAUGGAAACUACAAGGCUUGAGUGUGGUAGGGGCAGAGGGAAUUCCCGGUGUAGCGGUGAAAUGCGUAGAUAUCGGGAAGAACACCAGUGGCGAAGGCGCUCUGCUGGGCCAUAACUGACGCUCAUGGACGAAAGCCAGGGGAGCG